rnacentral:rRNA from 1 species
GCGGCGGACGGGUGAGUAACACGUGGGUAACCUGCCCGUAAGACCGGGAUAACUCCGGGAAACCGGGGCUAAUACCGGAUAACACCGGGGGCCGCAUGGCUUCCGGUUGAAAGGCGGCCUUUGGCUGCCACUUACGGAUGGGCCCGCGGCGCAUUAGCUAGUUGGCGGGGUAACGGCCCACCAAGGCGACGAUGCGUAGCCGGCCUGAGAGGGUGGACGGCCACACUGGGACUGAGACACGGCCCAGACUCCUACGGGAGGCAGCAGUAGGGAAUCUUCCGCAAUGGGCGAAAGCCUGACGGAGCGACGCCGCGUGAGCGAGGAAGGCCUUCGGGUCGUAAAGCUCUGUUGUCAGGGAAGAAGGCGUGCCGUUCGAAUAGGGCGGCGCGGUGACGGUACCUGACGAGGAAGCCCCGGCUAACUACGUGCCAGCAGCCGCGGUAAAAC